UAAAAUGACAGCAUUUCAGUUUGAGUAACAGUGUUGUCCCGGCCUUUUCUGAGAAGUAGACUAAAGCCAAAGCUCUUGGAUUUUCUGACAACUCAUCAGCAUCAUUGUACAGAAACAACUGUGUGUGAGACCCACUGUGUUGAUAGCUUACAGGCAGCAAAACAUGUGUUGACUACAAAGUAGAGCACAAAUGUGCUAUAAUUCAAAACCUGAUUUCACUUUGAGUAUUACUGCUCUGUUGAAAUGCUAUCAUUACUAACAUAGAGUACUAUAAAGACUACUGAAGUGUUAUGGUGGCCCAGCAAUGUAGUCUAGGCUGAUGUUGAUUGAUGAUAAAAUGCUGAAAAAAACACAAGGAGGAGCUGAUAUACUGUGCCUCCCCAACCCACAUUGAGCUGCAGUCAAUGCGAUGCAAAUGGAAUAACAUCAAGGGCUGACAUUUUAUUUUUGCACUUUGGUUUACAGUAUGUGUGGUUGCCCUUUAAAUCACUUGUGAUAAUUUUGAACAUGACUCCUUCUGUCGACCCCUUUUAGGUCCCACCUCAAAAAAAAAAAAAUAAAAAAAAAAUAAAAAAAAAAUAAAGAAAAAUGCAAAUACUCUGAUACUCUGUGGUGGGAGAGCAGCUUUUCACAGUCAAACUGAAAAUGAUGAAAAAAAUAUUUACAGUCCAAGCAAAUAUUUUUGGAAAUGACAGUGAUAACAUGUGCUUCCCAGCCCAUGUCUGACAUUCACAUCACACCGAAUAUAGUUUUGAACUGGUGAAACUUCCCUCUCUUUAUUUGUUAGUGUGAAAAAAGGGUUAGUGUUCACAUUUAUUUCCUGUUUUCAGUUCAGCUCAUUGCAGCUGUGUAUCCAUUUAUGUCAAACCACCGGUGUCUGUAUCCCCACAUCCCAAUUUCCUACAGUAAACCUGUGGUUGUCUGCUUCAUGCCAGUCUUCAAAACUGUAUCUUGCCUCCUGGUAUGUUUUCACAGUUCAAGACAAUCAGCAGGUGUGGACACUACACAACCUUAUUUUCUUUCUUUCUGUCAUGUUCUCGAUCUUCCUGUGUCAGAUGCAUUCAUCCCUCUCAAUUUGUCUCUCUCAGUUUCUCUAUUAACCCUCUGUUUCUUUCCUGCAGUCGCACUUCCCAAGAAGUGUCUAAUGCAUGUGCCGCUUAUAUGUUUACGUUACAAACUUACCAUUGCUGACUUUUCUCUCUCUCUUUAACAGUGCUGCCCGUCUUCACACUUUUUCAUUGCCUCUUGUAGUAGCACAUUAUUGUUUUUGUCUGAAAUGCACCUAUCAACUUGUCUAUCUUUUUUUGUGCAUGCUGUUCACCCCACAAUACCUCCCCAUUCAACAUGGCUGCAGGAAAGUGGAAGUUCCC
ensembl:lncRNA